AAAAAGGUUAAAAUCCUUGUUGGCCUGCAAAAGGAAAUUUAAAACUCCUUAUUUGAGAGAGAAUACAGAAAAGGAGAAUGACACUGCAGUCUGCACGUUCCAAACUUCUUGUGAUGAUUGCAACAUGUUUGUGCCUUUUUAGUUGGUUUCUUUUGUGGAGUCUCUCUCCUUCUCUCAGAGAUUGGGCGGCUCCUCCCACACCAGCACCUUCACACCUUCACACCUGCACCUGAUCUCUGCAAUCACCACCUGCAUUUAAUCCCUGCUGGGAGGCUUCUCCAGUGCCAGAUUAUUCCCGCAUCUGAAGUGCCCCCAGUGCUUUUUCCCUGUCGCUGCCACACUGCCUCACUCUCUAACUGGAUUUAUUCACCAGCCUCCACCUCUAGUCCUCACGCCUUGGACCCUGGAUCCCUUCCCUGCUCCCUUUGUUCCAUACAAUAAAUUCACUGAACUGCG